UUUGGACCCAGUGAUUGUGAGCACAGCAUCCAAGGUCGGCAGACCCAGUUUCAAGGCCCAGCUCUGCCUCUGUACCAGCAAUUUCUGACUUCCUGACACAAGAAGGAGCUACAACUUGUAUUAUCCCUGCUCCUGGACUGGAAUCAGCCUCUCCUGAAAGAAGUUCUGGAUCCUUCUAUUGGAGAAUGAUACUUAGAAACCAAGACUGGAGCCUCAGAUGUGCCCAUUGUUACUGAACUGCCACUGCUUUUAGGCCAUUUUGGUAAGCCAAACUUGAGAGAUUUAUGCAUAUGCUUACCCAUCACACAUACACAUAUUUAUGUCUGUAUCUGAAUGCAUAUGCCUUUGUACUUUUAAAGUGAAUUCAGGAGCCAGGUGUGGUGGUGCAUGCCUGUAACCCCACCACUUGG
rnacentral:lncRNA from 1 species